GGCGAACGCUGGCGGCGUGCCUAAUACAUGCAAGUUGAGCGCUGAAGGUUGGUACUUGUACCAACUGGAUGAGCAGCGAACGGGUGAGUAACGCGUGGGGAAUCUGCCUUUGAGCGGGGGACAACAUUUGGAAACGAAUGCUAAUACCGCAUAAAAACUUUAAACACAAGGUUGAAGUGUGAAAGAUGCAAUUGCAUCACUCAAAGAUGAUCCCGCGUUGUAUUAGCUAGUUGGUGAGGUAAAGGCUCACCAAGGCGAUGAUACAUAGCCGACCUGAGAGGGUGAUCGGCCACAUUGGGACUGAGACACGGCCCAAACUCCUACGGGAGGCAGCAGUAGGGCAUCUUCGGCAAUGGACGAAAGUCUGACCGAGCAACGCCGCGUGAGUGAAGAAGGUUUUCGGAUCGUAAAACUCUGUUGGUAGGGAAGAACGUUGGUGAGAGUGGAAAGCUCAUCAAGUGACGGUAACUACCCAGAAAGGGACGGCUAACUACGUG
rnacentral:rRNA from 1 species